CCUACGGGAGGCUGCAGUGGGGGAUAUUGCACAAUGGGGGAAACCCUGAUGCAGCGACGCCGCGUGAAGGAAGAAGUACUUCGGUAUGUAAACUUCUAUCAGCAGGGAAGAAAAUGACGGUACCUGACUAAGAAGCCCCGGCUAACUACGUGCCAGCAGCCGCGGUAAUACGUAGGGGGCAAGCGUUAUCCGGAUUUACUGGGUGUAAAGGGAGCGUAGGCGGUUGAGCAAGUCAGAAGUGAAAGCCCGGGGCUCAACCCCGGGACUGCUUUUGAAACUGUCGCACUGGAUUGCAGGAGAGGUAGGUGGAAUCCUUGGUGUAGCGGUGAAAUGCGUAGAUAUAAGGAGGAACAC
rnacentral:rRNA from 1 species